AGAACACCUGCUCUGGCAAUAGGCCACGGGCAGGGCUGCUUUAUAGCGAUCAGCUGGGAGCAGUUGGGGCCGAGCCCUUCAUGUCUCGGGCUGUCCACACUCCAAGCGCGGUACGUGCGCCCAGGCCUCCAUCUUGCAUCUCAGUGUGAGCCUGGCGCUUGCGCACACAGCUUGCCUGCUAUGCUGAGGGGUGGGUGCAGCCGCUUGCCACGAGGAGGAGCUCUGGUCUGAAGCCCCUCGUGCGAGGUCUCUGCUCAGACCACCCUGUGAGCAAGUGAAACUCAACCAAGCACGAAGGAAAGAAAGGAAUUAGCCAUGACUGAGGUGAACACUGAGUAGCCAGAACAAGGCCAAGAUGAAAAAGGCUGAUUGUAUUCAUGACUGACUGGGACAGAAUGCAGGCUCUUACAAAGUCUAGAAGACCACCCACUAAGGCAAAUGACGAAUCUAGAAGACAUGAAGGAAGGAUCAUAAUUGAAGUUGUGGAGCCAGUAAUUUAGAGCUGGGAAGACAAGAUUACAGCAAAAGCAACUGGAAUUGAUAAGGGAACAUGAGAUUGGGAGAGAUAGUCCUGAGUGACAUUGCACAUUGGCUGGUGUUUGGGGAUUACCCUUGUGAGCUGGCAGGAGCAUGAAGCAAGGCUUUGUCUUCCAGCACCCCAGUGGUGGGAGAUAACGAUUUAAGUGUUUGGAAGCCAAGUUAAGUGAAAAUCUUCUUGGCACCUCGGGAGAGAGGCCAAUAGGACACCGAGUGAAGCCUAAAUAAUGCUGCAGGAUGUUGGGAUAAAGAGCUGGUUUAGUCUCCUGGGUUUGUAGACAUUGUUUUUGCUUCAGGGCUGUGAACAAGAUGCUAAAAUACAUUGCUGAUCCCUUUCCUCUGGGAGCUACAUCAGGGCUUAAACUUGAUUGAAGCACCCAACACCUGGAAAUAUUUUUAUCCUCUUCACUCCAGGCUGGAUUUGAACUGCUGACUUGGAGGCGAAAUGUUCUACAGCCCAAAUCCAAUCCAUGGAGCCAAUUAAGCUCCUUCCUCAUACAUUUCUUUGUGCUCUGUUUUGAAAAGAGAUUUUUAAGUGAUCUUAAGGAAAAAUAGGAUGUUGUUUCUACGGUUACCAUUGAUGGAAAUAUUGAUGUGAUGUAGUUUGUCUAGAGUUUUUCUCUUUUGUUAAAUAAAAAGCGUAAAUUAGCCUGUGUAUGUAAACCAAAAACAAAAAGGUAGGCCAAAAUCAAAAGAGGCGAUCAUUUGGUUAUACAUUUUUGCACAAAAGAAACAGAUAAAUUUUCUCAAAAGACUUGGCAGCCGUGCUAUUCAUAAAUGUGUGUUCAACAGAUAGUCUAGUUGCCUCACUUGUAGCUGGAGGACAUGCUGGUCCUUUCACAUCAUUUACCCAUUUGCUGAGUUUUUGAGUAGACAGUGAGACUGUAUUUCAAACCCGAGGAUUGCUUGCCAUAAACAUGGCUUCUGUCUCCCUGACAAAUGUUUUAUUAUCCCUUCUGUCUGGAUUCCUACUUUGUUCAGUCAGUUGUGUGUCUUUGUAGAGUUCAUAAGUUUCAAUGAUGGUUCUCAGAAUAUUUUUUAAACACUUCAGUUAAAAUAGCUCUUCAAAAAUCAACUAGUAUUUUCUAUAUUUCUUUAUGAGUGAAGAUGAUAAACUGGACACAGUUCUGUGACUUCUGUGCACUGGAAUAUAAUAAUUUAUGUCUGUACAGCAUUUCUCUUUCAUGCAUAUCAAUGCACAAGUUACAGUCACUUGGUUACAUGGGUAAAGCAUUCAUUCAUUCUUUCAUUUGCAUUUACUUGUUCAUAUACUUAUUGAGUACUGAUAGGUCAGGCAUUGAGCUAGGUUCCAGGUAUAAGAAAUAUGAAAAACACCAUCCUUGUCUUCUAGAAGCUUCUAGAUGGUCCCUUCUUAUGGGAGCUAAAGUAAUUUAAUACUGUAAAUUGUCUAUACAAAGUGUAGAUGGGGAGCAGGGACAGGUUGCUAAAGCUGGAUUGGAUGAACAGGAAAAUAUUUCAAAAAGAAGAAGAAUUUAGAGUAAGAUAUGAAAAGAAAAAUGUUUUUCACACAGAUUGAGGGAGGAUAUUGACACUAGAGUACUAUGACCAUGGUUGUAUAGAUGAGGAAACUAAGAUUAAAAGACUUUUCAAGGUCAUGAGGAUGGUAGAUGAGAUUUCAGGUACUUGGACUGAGAUGUUUCAUUCUGUUGCCAUUGCACUCCACUACACCAAUCAACACUUCAUAGAGACUUUUCAAAUCUUCAUAAUUCUAUAAAGCAAGAGGUAUAUACGAUUACCUUUUUUUGGGGGGGGCGGAGGUUGAGGGCUGCACCUGCAGUAUGUAAAAAUUCCCGAGCCAGGGAUUGAACCCUAGCCACUGAAAUGACAAUGCCAGGUCCUUAACCUGCUGCAUCACAUGGGAACUCCAAGGUCAUCUUGCUUGAGCAUGAGAAGGCAUUUAAAAUCUUGGGGAGAGAGAGAGGAGUUCCCGUCAUGGCUCAGUGGUUAACAUAUCAGACUAGGAACCAUGAGGUUGCGGGUUCGAUCCCUGGCCUUGCUCAGUGGGUUAAAGAUCCCGCAUUGCUGUGGCUGUGGUGUAGGCCGGCAGCUACAGCUCCGAUUAGACUCCUAGCCUGGGAACCUCCAUAUGCUGCAGAAGCAGUCCUAGAAAAGGCCAAAAAAAAAAAAAAAAAAAAAA
rnacentral:lncRNA from 1 species